GCCCAAGCAGUAUAGUGGUUAGUACUCCACGUUGUGUCCGUGGCGAUAUAUGUUCGAUUCCUGUCUUGGGCG
rnacentral:tRNA from 1 species